CACUGUCUUGGAAAUGUCUGAUAUUGUUGGCCGUGGGGCGAGAACUGUGCUUCCCCAAGGGGAAUAAACCCUCCCGUGACACUGCUGGCCACAGGGCAAGAGCUGCGUUUCUCUAACGGGGGCAGGGGUCAAUCCUCCCUGUGACACCAUUGACUGCAGGUCAGAGACACGGUUCUUGAUCUGCGUGUUGAAUGAGCAAAGGUGGGUCUGGCUCACCGUCACUGCGGGGGCUUCGUGAACCUCGUGUCACCCACCCAGUCCCUCCUGGGGCCGGUCCAGGAUACUUAGGAAGCACGGCUGGGGCUGCCGUGGAAAGGGAUGAAGAGCCGUUGAACCAGAACCGUGGCAGGCGUUGAAGCCUCCACCAGACUGAAGAAUGAACAACCCAAAAUCCAUCAAUCCCGCCGCAAACUCCUCCGCCGAUGGAUCUGCGGCAUCUCUAGCAGCUUUAGGCCUGAGCGUUGGGUUUCCAGCUGCCCUUUCCAGACACACAAAGCUCAAUGUUUUGUGCUGAAAGAGCUCUAAUCGGGCCUUGGGGCUUCGCUGGGGCUUUGCCUGAGCAUUAAAGGGACGUUUGGGUUGGGGGUUGGUCUGCGCGUGCCUUCAGAUCCAACGCACCUACACACCUCACCUGGAUGGAUUUUCUUACACUUUUGAAACAAGGGGGUAAAAUCCCCUUUUUCCUUGGAAUCAGCCAUAACUCGGUCUAUCCCCUGAAAGAUGGGCUCAGCACCAAACCCAUCCCAAACCUUUUCCCAGGUGAGUGUUCUACUGCUCCUUUAUGACUUUGAUUGAUCACUUUCCCCUCUGAGCGGCUCCUUUAAGGAUGCUAAGCCCCUUCCCCUCUCCUGGCAGCUCUGGAACCACCCCAGAUGUGGCUGGAAGAGGGACCACCCUUCCUGGAGAUCCAAUCCGUGAAGCGAGUAGAAAAUGGGAGAUAGAAUCCAGGCUUAUGACGAAAGCAGGCAGGAGCUUCCAGAUGUCAAGAGGUUUUUCCUCUUAUCCCUCCCUCAGGGCAACGGACAGGAAUAGUUGCUGGUUCCAGGGAACUGUGGAUGAAUUAUAGAUCAAACCAGGCUCGAAGCCAAUUUCAGUGUCCUGGGACGCAUCCAAAACCAUGUGAAAAGGGUUUUGUAAUGAGCAAUAAAC
rnacentral:lncRNA from 1 species